CCGGUCUGAACUCAGAUCAUGUAAGAAUUUAAAGGUCGAACAGACCUAUAAAAUUAAGCAGCUACACCUAACCAAAAUCUUAAUCCAACAUCGAGGUCGCAAGCCCCUUCGCAAAUAAGAACUCCAAAAAGGGAUUACGCUGUUAUCCCUAAGGUAACUUAAACUAAUAAUCAUUAAUAAUGGAUCAAAAUAAACAUAAAUAAAUGAAAACAAAAAUAUAAAAGUUAAUCAAAUUCAAAUUGUCACCCCAACAAAACAAAUAAAAAUAAAAACAAAAAAAUAAACAAAAUAAGAUAAUUAUAUUAAAUGUAAAGCUCUAUAGGGUCUUCUCGUCUACCAAUACUAGUUUAAAGCCUUUUAACCAAAAAGUAAAAUUCAAAAAAUAAAACUGAGACAGUUAACACCUCGUCAAACCCUUCAUACCAGCUCCCUAUUAAAGAACUAAUGAUUAUGCUACCUUUGCACGGUCAAAAUACCGCGGCCGUUAAAUUAAAAUCACUGGGCAGGCCAAACCUCCUAAAUAAACAAGAGGAC
rnacentral:rRNA from 1 species